rnacentral:rRNA from 1 species
GACGAACGCUGGCGGCGUGCUUAACACAUGCAAGUCGAACGGAAAGGCCCUGCUUGCAGGGUACUCGAGUGGCGAACGGGUGAGUAACACGUGGGUGAUCUGCCCUGCACUUCGGGAUAAGCCUGGGAAACUGGGUCUAAUACCGGAUAGGAGCCAUUUUUAGUGUGAUGGUUGGAAAGUUUUUUCGGUGUAGGAUGAGCUCGCGGCCUAUCAGCUUGUUGGUGGGGUAAUGGCCUACCGAGGCGGCGACGGGUAGCCGGCCUGAGAGGGUGGACGGCCACAUUGGGACUGAGAUACGGCCCAGACUCCUACGGGAGGCAGCAGUGGGGAAUAUUGCACAAUGGGCGCAAGCCUGAUGCAGCGACGCCGCGUGGGGGAUGACGGCCUUCGGGUUGUAAACUCCUUUCGCUAGGGACGAAGCUUUUGUGACGGUACCUAGAUAAGAAGCACCGGCUAACUACGUG